UACGAAGGGGGCUAGCGUUGCUCGGAAUCACUGGGCGUAAAGCGCACGUAGGCGGAUUGCUAAGUCAGGGGUGAAAUCCUGGAGCUCAACUCCAGAACUGCCUUUGAUACUGGCGAUCUCGAGUCCGGGAGAGGUGAGUGGAACUGCGAGUGUAGAGGUGAAAUUCGUAGAUAUUCGCAAGAACACCAGUGGCGAAGGCGGCUCACUGGCCCGGUACUGACGCUGAGGAGCGAAAGCGUGGGUAGCAAACAGG
rnacentral:rRNA from 1 species